GAUGAACGCUGGCGACGUGCCUAAUACAUGCAAGUCGAGCGAACGGACGAGAAGCUUGCUUCUCUGAUGUUAGCGGCGGACGGGUGAGUAACACGUGGAUAACCUACCUAUAAGACUGGGAUAACUUCGGGAAACCGGAGCUAAUACCGGAUAAUAUUUUGAACCGCAUGGUUCAAAAGUGAAAGACGGUCUUGCUGUCACUUAUAGAUGGAUCCGCGCUGCAUUAGCUAGUUGGUAAGGUAACGGCUUACCAAGGCAACGAUGCAUAGCCGACCUGAGAGGGUGAUCGGCCACACUGGAACUGAGACACGGUCCAGACUCCUACGGGAGGCAGCAGUAGGGAAUCUUCCGCAAUGGGCGAAAGCCUGACGGAGCAACGCCGCGUGAGUGAUGAAGGUCUUCGGAUCGUAAAACUCUGUUAUUAGGGAAGAACAUAUGUGUAAGUAACUGUGCACAUCUUGACGGUACCUAAUCAGAAAGCCACGGCUAACUACGU
rnacentral:rRNA from 1 species